rnacentral:rRNA from 1 species
UACGUAGGGUGCGAGCGUUAAUCGGAAUUACUGGGCGUAAAGCGUGCGCAGGCGGUCUGUUAAGACCGAUGUGAAAUCCCCGGGCUUAACCUGGGAACUGCAUUGGUGACUGGCAGGCUUUGAGUGUGGCAGAGGGAGGUAGAAUUCCACGUGUAGCAGUGAAAUGCGUAGAGAUGUGGAGGAAUACGAUGGCGAAGGCGGCCUCCU